rnacentral:rRNA from 1 species
GACAGAGGGUGCAAACGUUGUUCGGAAUUACUAGGCGUAAAGCGAGUGUAGGCGGCCUGCUAAGUCGGGUGUGAAAGCCCCGGGCUCAACUCGGGAAGUGCACUCGAAACUGGUAGGCUCGAGUAUCGGAGAGGUUGGUGGAAUUCUCGGUGUAGAGGUGAAAUUCGUAGAUAUCGAGAGGAACACCGGUGGCGAAGGCGGCCAACUGGACGAAUACUGACGCUGAGACUCGAAAGCGUGGGGAGCAAACAGG